UAUACGAGCAUGAUUAUGUCUGUGAUAUGUCGUUUUCUGUUCUUUUCUCUAGUACCACAUGUAUUCUGGCAAAUCGUUGGAUUCUGCAGCAGUUUGCUAAUUAUCUGUUGUGUUAUAAACAAUCUUGUUUUGUUGUGCUUUUUUAAAUAUAAUUGAGCUGUUUCUAAUGAUUCACAAUUAAUUACAACAGCUCUAAAUUUUCAAUUUAAAGUAGUUUAAAUUAUUGCCUAGGCUUUGCCCAUAGGCAGAGGCAUGCUAGUAGUACAGUCCUGGUGAAUCAGAUUUAAUAGGCAUUUUGAAACAAGCACAGCUGCAAUUAUGCCCAGAGAAUUUCUGCCAACUUUUUAAUAGUUUAUUUUUUAUUGUAAAAGCAUCUUUUAAGUACCUUUGUUUCUCCCGGGAUGGAAAUUAUUGUUUCAAAGUAUUUCAUGCCAAGUUUUUUACUUAACAUGCUACCUAGGAAUUUAUUUCUUAUUACAGAAAGAUCAUGUUAUAUUUCAAGAAAAUAUAGAGCUAAUACAAGGCAGCAUGCUGGAAAUAGAGGUGUUUAUGUUUGCUGUUAUACAUCCGGUAGUUAUUUUUCUAAUGUUACUCCUGAUAUUUUAAAGUGCUAUGCAAACAUUAAAUGAAUCAUAAAACCUAAGAACUCAUUAUUGCUCUGUCCUUAUUUUAUAAACAGGGAAAAGAGAGCACAGAAGUGCCCUGCCCAUUGCAAUAGGGAAACAAAAUUAGAAUUUCUCUUCCCAUCUCUCAGAUGACUCCUGAAAACGCUUUGUAUUAUGUGUGACCUGGGUAUGAUUUCCAGACCCUACUUUAAGCAAGUAGAUACCUGGAGCAUGACAGAGGACACCGAAGCAACAAAGAUGAUAAAUGUCAAGUAAAAAACCUAAAGUAGAUGUGAAUUCUUUUCCAUGCAGACCAAGUAGGAUGGCAUUUAGUGUACUAAAUUUUAUAGACACAUCUCUAAUGUAAAAAAAUAAAAUUGAAGUACUUAUAGAAUAAUAUGUAUUGUGUGACAUGUUAAUACUGUUAAAGGUUGAGGGUUUUUUAUUUCCUGGUGGUGUGUAUUUCUGUUGGAUUGCUUCAGAGGCGCAAAAUAUAUUUAUUUAGUCAGAAGGACUCCUGCUAAUUGUUCAAUGGCUCUUGCUGUGCUGGAGAGAUUUUGAAUUUAUAUUGUUUCUCUAAAUGCAAAGCACUUCUGAUUCAUUUAACAUUGUUUGGACAGCUGUGAAGAGAAAUAAAAUGGCACAAUAUUGUUUUCCUGUGCUGCUUUUGAAGUGACAUAAUUACUUCAAAUAUUGCCUGAGAUACCCACUGAGACAAUCACAGGACUUAAUUUUAAAUGAAGCAAAAUGUAUCUCAACACUGAAAGCAAAACUGUGCACUGCAAAAUGAUGGAGGAAGUAUUGGAAUAAAGAUCCCUGCUAAGCACUCUGUUAUUUACCUACUUACCAGCCAGAGGUUACAUAUUUUUAGAUAACUGACAAUUUUUAUGUCAGAUAUACUAUACAGUUCCUUAAUUCUGUAACUCUCCUUUACAAAUAACAGCGGAGAUAUUUGUGUGCCAGUGAUAUUGUGAAACAGUGAUUACUGUUUCAAUCUUUCACAGAAGAUGCACUUGUUAUUGUGAACAACAUGCAGUUAUUCCUUCAGAGACAUCAUUUGUAGGUUGAUUGCCUCCUUAACGUCAUGAAGCAGUCUUUUGAUUAAAGAGAGAAAUGAGAAAUUUUAUGCUACUUCCUAAUUUUAAACUUCUCAGUGUAAAAGUGUGUCUUAGCAUUAUUCUUCAUUCAGAACAACUGCUAAUCUCCCCAAACAUAAUCUUCACCUCUGAGGCUGAUCCCCCAGCUCACUUGUCCAGAGGCAAACCUUGUUCUUUCCUUUAUCCAUGCUAGGCUGCAUAAUACCAAGUCCAUCCUUCACUGCUUCUUUCUUCCUCAUACAAAUGCUCUGGUCCCAUUUGCUUUACGAAAACAAAAGCAAAAUCUGUGUGCCUGGACCAGACUGUAAAAGGGUAUUUUGCCACCUAGCAUCAUGGAAGGAGCUGUUCAGUUCACAAAAUUGUUAGGUCCAAGGCAGAGGCUGGGUUCCCAGCCCAAGGCAGGAGGAGAAAAAAGAUGCUCAUGCUGUAUGAAUUAGUUUGGGACCCAUAGCAUGGCUAAAAGUGAGCUCUGGUAAGCUUUGUAUUGGAACUAGCAGUGCCCUUGUAAAGGAGGAACAGCACAGAAUGCUCUCUGAACAAAUGCACCAGCAUAAAUGCAAAGUCUUGGUGAUGAAAUACUGUAAAGCAGCUUUACAUCUUGCAUGUCCUUUACACUUGAGCUUGCCUUGUCUUUUAAGGGUCCCCUGGCAACAUUCAGAGCUUUCUGGUGAGAAAAAGGCUCAGGGCCCAGGAGGCAACUUUGUCAUUUUCAUAGAAAUAAUGGGAGGAAACGAAAACAGAAUCUACGUCAUACCUUCUGGAGUUGUUAUGCUGAGGAAAAAAUCUUGAGGAGCAUUUUGAUUAUUUCUAAUUUAGCAGCUCUAAAGCAAACUAAAGAUUUUGUAUUCACAGCAUGGGAUGAAUGUAUCCAUUUUCCAUAAUAUCCUGUCACAAAGCAGGCAAAAGCAGAUACUUAGAAGAUGAGAAAAAGAAAAGGUCAAAAAUAUAAUGAUGUUUCCUUAGACUAUUUUUCUGGUUCUGGAUAUUCCUUGAGUCCGAAAUGUUGUUUUUUUAAUUAACAGCCCUAAUUGCUUUUGAUGUUUUUUUUUUUCUUCUUUUGAAUUCAUGUAGAUGUUUUGCAUUUGAAAAAUACCUGUAUUUACCUGCAUAAUGUGAAAAAUAAAAUUCUUUCAUUUUCUCUGAGUCUGCCAUCUGCUUACUUCUGUUAGCCUGUAGUUCUUGCUUUGUCAGAGACUGUGAGCAGCCAUUCCCCAUGUACCUCUCUGUGCAUUUUUUUAAUAUGGCACUUUUCCCUAUUCCUCACUCCCAGUUAAUGUUUACUUAUUAAAGGUCCCAUAUUACAAAAAAAAAAA